rnacentral:ncRNA from 2 species
GAGGGAGCCUGAGAAACGGC